GUGCUUGCUUCAGCAGCACACGUACUAAAAUUGAAAUGAUGCAGAUAAUAUUAGCAUGGCCCCCGAACAAGGAUGACACUCAAAUUUGUGAAGCAUUCUGUAUUUUU